GUCUACGACCAUGCUACCCUGAACAAGUCCAAUUCUAUCUGAUCUCAAAAGCAAGCAGGGUCAGGCCUGGUUAGUACUUGGAUGGGAGACCUAGGAAGACCAGGCGCUGUAGGCA
rnacentral:rRNA from 1 species